CGAACGGGUGAGUAACGCGUGAGCAACCUGCCUAUGACAGUGGGAUAGCCUCGGGAAACCGGGAUUAAUACCGCAUAAAAUCGUAGAAACACAUGUUUUAACGGUCAAAGAUUUAUCGGUCAUAGAUGGGCUCGCGUCCGAUUAGCUAGUUGGUGAGAUAACAGCCCACCAAGGCGACGAUCAGUAGCCGGUCUGAGAGGAUGAACGGCCACAUUGGAACUGAGACACGGUCCAA
rnacentral:rRNA from 1 species